UACGUAGGGGGCAAGCGUUGUCCGGAUUUAUUGGGCGUAAAGAGCGUGUAGGCGGCUUUACAGGUCCGUUGUGAAAACUCGAGGCUCAACCUCGAGACGCCGGUGGAAACCGUAAAGCUAGAGUCCGGAAGAGGAGAGUGGAAUUCCUGGUGUAGCGGUGAAAUGCGCAGAUAUCAGGAAGAACACCCGUGGCGAAAGCGGCUCUCUGGGACGGUACUGACGCUGAGACGCGAAAGCGUGGGGAGCGAACAGG
rnacentral:rRNA from 1 species